rnacentral:rRNA from 1 species
GACGAACGCUGGCGGCAUGCCUAAUACAUGCAAGUCGAGCGAACAGAUGAAGUGCUUGCACUUCUGACGUUAGCGGCGAACGGGUGAGUAACACGUAAGGAAUCUACCUAUAAGCGGGGGAUAACAUUCGGAAACGGGUGCUAAUACCGCAUAAUAUCUUCUUCCGCUUGGAAGAAGAGUGAAAGACGGCUCUGCUGUCACUUAUAGAUGACCUGGGGGUGCAUUAGUUAGCUGGUGGGGUAAUGGCCUACCAAGACGAUGAUGCAUAGCCGGCCUGAGAGGGUGAUCCGCCACAGUGGGACUGAGACACGGCCCAAACUCCUACGGGAGGCAGCAGUAGGGAAUCUUCCGCAAUGGGCGAAAGCCUGACGGAGCAAUGCCGCGUGAGUGAAGAAGGCCUUCGGGUCGUAAAACUCUGUUAUAAGAGAAGAACAAAUUGUAGAGUAACUGCUACAGUCUUGACGGUAUCUUAUCAGAAAGCCACGGCUAACUACGUGCCAGCAGCCGCCGUAA